UGAGGAAUAUUGGACAAUGGGACGCAAGCCUGAUCCAGCCAUGCCGCGUGCAGGAUGACGGUCCUAUGGAUUGUAAACUGCUUUUGUACAGGAAGAAACAGUUCUACGUGUAGAACCUUGACGGUACUGUAAGAAUAAGGAUCGGCUAACUCCGUGCCAGCAGCCGCGGUAAUACGGAGGAUCCAAGCGUUAUCCGGAAUCAUUGGGUUUAAAGGGUCCGUAGGCGGUUAGAUAAGUCAGUGGUGAAAGCCCAUCGCUCAACGGUGGAACGGCCAUUGAUACUGUCUGACUUGAAUUAUUAGGAAGUAACUAGAAUAUGUAGUGUAGCGGUGAAAUGCUUAGAGAUUACAUGGAAUACCAAUUGCGAAGGCAGGUUACUACUAAUGGAUUGACGCUGAUGGACGAAAGCGUGGGUAGCGAACAGGAUUAGAUACCCCUGUAGUCCCUGAGCGGGCUGGCAAGGCGCAU
rnacentral:rRNA from 1 species